UGGACCAAUCAGCAAGAUGUGGGUGGGGCCAGAUAAGGGAAUAAAAGCAGGCUGCUGGAGCCAGUAAUGUUGACACCCUCGGGUUGUCUUCUGUGGUGUGGAGGCUUUGUUCUUUUGUUCUUUGUGAUAGAUCUAAUUGCUGCUCACUCUUUGGGUCUGUACUGCGUUUAUGAGCUGUGACACUCGCCGUGAAGGUCUGCAGCUUCACUCCUGAACCAGCGAGAGGAGGAACCCACCAGAAGGAGGAAAACGCGGAACACAUCUGAAUAUCAGAAGGAACAAACUCCAGACACGCCGCCUUUAAGAACUGUAACAGUCACCGCGAGGGUCCGUGGUUUCAUUCUUGAAGUAAGUGAGACCAAGAACCUGCCAAUUUCAGACACAAUGGAGAGCGCCAGUCCUGCUGCGGGGCCAUACAUCUAUUUAAUUUCCUCUCAUCUUCCCCCCGGUUCCGAGAGGAAGGUGCUUUCACCUGCACUGUUCCCAUGAGGAAACGAGGCUUCAGGAAUCUGAUAAAGCUUCCAAACUCCCGUGGCUGGCAGGAACCAAGGUUUCGAUGGCCGGACUUCUCAGCCCCCCAGGUGGAAAAGCAGGAGGCAUGACAGAUGAGGGUGAGAGUGCAUGCCAGGUCAGGCUGAGAAGGCGACAAUGCCAUAUGGUUUUUUCCACUUAGCUUAGCUCCAGGAUGACUUUGAACAGUGUUACAGCCCCAUGGGCAGAAAAUUGCACUUGCCUCAAGCUUCAUUAAAGCAAAUCGAGUCAGAAGGGAUUGAAACACCUGGAAGAAAUGCAAUGGAUUCAAACAGGGAAAAGGUGUGGGUCCGUCCCUUUUCCUGGUAAAUCCAGCAGCCUAGGAGAUGUCAGAAAAACAUUCCAAGGUUCCUGGACUUUUAAAGAGGCUAAGGAUGGGGCCUGCCAGGUACAGGAUGGCCCAUGCAGGUGGAGAUGCAGCCACAGGAUACCUGGGAUUCAUUGCAGCCUCGUCACUUACCAGUGUUGGCACUGUAUCGGUUAUCCCGAAUUUAACAGCCUAAAGCCACAUUCGUCAUCUUAUACUCUGUGGGGGUAGGGAAUCCAGGAGUGGAUUCACCAGGAGGUUCUGGCUGGGUGUCUCCCCGGAGCCGCAGGCGAGUGUGGGCCGUGGCAGCCAUCCCUGUUUCCAAGUGCACCAUGUGGCAGUUGGCUUGAGGCUCCAGGUCCUUGAGGUGCAGGCUUCCCCACGGGGCUGCUCGCGGCAUGGCUUCCUCACCCAGAGUGAUGGAUCCGAGAGAGAGCAGCCAAACUGAAAGCCACAGCCUUUUGUAAGCAAACCUCAGAAGUGACAUCUCGUCACAUCUGCCAUAUUCUACUGGUCGCACAGACCUAUCCUGCUACAUGGAAGGAGCAGCAGGAAGGUGGUGGGGAUUGCUGGGACCAUCUUGGAGGCUGCCACAGACAUCCAAGCCCCUCCAGGCAGGACAAACCAGGAUGAGAGGACAGUGUCGGGUGUAGCUGCCACCACCCAGUGUCGUCCAAGGAAAAUGGAGCAACCACAUCCUGCAUGGCAACACCAGGUGGCCAAGCCAGAUCGUGUGACCACUCGACGCUUCCCACCCACAGCAAAGAGGAGUGCAGGCUCUGCUGAUUCUCACGCACGUACAAGAAAGACUUCUUUUCGGUAAAGAAAGGAAGGAAAGCGCUGCAGGUUCCACCAGAGGCUUUUAUUUCAGCCACUCAGGACCCUGGCUUUCUGCUCCAAGGCACUGAACACAGUCAGGCUCUUCUAAACACUGGCAGGGACCUCCCCCACAGCCGCCCCCACAGGGUUCUCUGUUUCCCAAGUCCUGAUGGAUUCAGGCAAGACCUUCACACAUUCACCCACUACCUGCUGGACAGGAGGGUCAUGAGGCAGCCUGUGGUGCCCAGCUCAGUGUGACACACUGCCAAUGUGCCGCCUCCCCCAGCCUCUGAUGGGGCCGGGCCUUGACCACGUGACAGGCUCAAGCUGCCGUGCACAUCCCCCAGGAAAGGGGAAGAGCUGCUAAGGUGUAGCAGUGACCAAACAAAUAAGAAAUGCUACUGUGGAGGUUACACAGAUGCUUAUUUGGUUUUUAAACAAAUCCAACACAAAAGAAAGAAAG
rnacentral:lncRNA from 1 species